GGCGCGGCGGGGGCGGGGGGCGCGGGGUCCCGCGGAGCGGCGCGGAGCAGCGCGCACAGCCCCGGGGCCGCCGCUCCCGGGACGGUCGGUGCCGCCGCCCUGGGCGCAGGUAUCAGAAGUUCUGCUCACCUGCAGAGAGGUAUAAAUACUGAGGUUCCCAGGAUGUAAGAAAUGCAGUGCUGUGUCAUGCAGCUGACAGGUCUACUGGCGGAGCUGAUGGUCACAGCCAGGGUGGAAAUUCUUCAUUAAACAAAACAGAGUAAAGUAAUCAAGGAAGGUUGGAGUUGUUUGCAAGAUCUAUUGAGUUGAUCGCCCACCCUGUCAAAAAAAAAAGUCACCACUUGGGACAACAGCCCACUGCCAGGGGCUGCCAUGGCUAGCAAAAGAAAGUCAACCACGCCCUGUAUGGUGAGAGCUUCUGAAGUCACAGAGCAGGAAGGUGCUGAGGGCGCAGAGGCUCCUAAAGAGAAGGGGGCUGGCACCCUGCAGCAGGACUCUAAGAAAAGUUGGCCUUCAGAAAGCUCUGUCAAAGACUGCGAAGUGGUUGAGGCAAAGCCCCCAACUGAAAAUCCCUCUAAGAAGCCCCAGGGUGGUUAUGAGUGUAAAUACUGCCCUUACUCAACACAAAAUUUAAAUGAAUUUACAGAGCAUGUUGACACUCAGCACCCAAAUGUCAUUCUCAACCCCCUCUACGUCUGUGCUGAAUGCAACUUCACAACCAAAAAAUACGAUUCUUUAUCUGACCACAACACAAAAUACCACCCAGGAGAGACUAACUUUAAACUGAAAUUAAUUAAACGCAAUAAUCAGACUGUUUUGGAGCAGUCCAUUGAGGCCACUGCAAACAAUGUCACUGUCGCAAGUGGUGGGCUAGAAAAUGCAGAGUGUGAUGAUUCCCUUCAUGGGGGAAUUAGUGCAAGUAAAACACCAGUGAUGAAACUGGGAAAGCCUAAAGGGGAAACCAAGAAGGGUCCCAAAAAGCCAGAAGAGGGAGUUACAGAAAACCAUAUGGAUGGUGCUCUCCCCCGCAUCAUAACUGAAGCCACUGAAGCUAUUGCUUGUAUAAAUGGAGACCUUCUCCAUGAUGUCUUAGCCCACGUUAUGCCCUCUGUACAGCUACCACCAAAUAUUAACCUUGUCCCCAAGGUCCCGGUACCUCUGAACAGUACCAAAUACAACUCUGCACUGGACACUAAUGCAACCAUGAUCAACUCCUUUAAUAAAUUUCCUUACCCAACACAAGCAGAAUUGUCGUGGUUGACAGCAGCAUCCAAACAUCCAGAAGAACAAAUCCGAAUCUGGUUUGCUACGCAACGUUUGAAGCAUGGCAUAAGUUGGUCUCCUGAAGAAGUGGAGGAGGCAAGAAAGAAGAUGUUCAAUGGCACUAUCCAGGCAGUUCCCCAAACAAUCACCGUCUUGCCAGCUCCUUUGACAACUGCAAAAAUGCCCCAGCCCAUCAUCCAGACAGCUUUGCCUUGUCAGAUACUGGGCCAGACCGGUCUGGUUUUGACUCCAGUGUCAAAUGGUUCAACAGUUUCCUGCUCACCAAUUACACUUGCUGUUGCCCCAAACCAGGGGCAAAAGAGGACAAUACAGACCUUAUCAAGUGCCCCAGAGGCCAAGCGUCCUCACGUAGUUCAGGUGCCUGAGAUUCCUGCCAAGUUGACUGCUGUACCACUGACACCUGCCAGUGAGCGAAAAAAGACAAAGGAGCAGAUAGCAGAACUGAAGGCCAGUUUCAUGGCAAGCCAGUUUCCUGAUGAUGCAGAAGUCUACCGGCUGAUAGAGGCCACAGGUCUCUCCAGGAGCGAGAUCAAGAAGUGGUUCAGUGACCACAGGUACAGAAGUCAAAAGGGUGUUGUGCAUAUCCCUGGCGAUGCUUUAGGGAAAGAUCAAAUAGCACCUUCAGCUGGUCGGCACAGCCGUUCGUUUCACCCAUACACAGAUUUUACUUCCCAGAGAUUCAAAGAGAAAUCCCAAGAGCAGCUUAAGGCCCUUGAGGAGAGUUUCCUAAGGAGCUCUUUUCCUACCCAAGGAGAAUUGGAUAGGCUUCGAGUGGAGACUAAGCUGAGCAGGAGAGAGAUAGAUUCAUGGUUCUCUGAGCGAAGAAAGAUAAGGGACAGCAUGGAGCAAGCUGUCUUGGAUUCAAUGGGAUCAUACAGAAAAACUAAAGAACAAGGAACUCCCAACGGUGCAAUAAGCCAGACAGAACUGCUGACUAGCUCCCAGCUCCCUGGUGCUUUAUCUGGGUCCUCCACCACGUUUAAGAAAAACCAAGAACAGAUUCAUCUACUGAAAAGCACAUUUGCAAGGACCCAGUGGCCAUCGCCCCAGGAGUAUGACCAGUUAGCAUCUCAGACUGGGCUGACAAGAACUGAAAUAGUUCGCUGGUUCAAAGAGAACAGGUCUUCGCUAAGAACAGGGUCACUUAAAUGGAUUGACCAGUACCAGCAGCAGCACGUUCUUGAUGGUCAUAAUGAGCAAAGCCAGAAAAAGGGAUCAAAGAACACUGAGAGUCCAAAGAAUGGUAACGAGGUAUCUCGGCAGCAUUACCAGGAGCAUAAAAAACUGAAUGAAGAGAAUGGGGGGAAGCUAGUGGUGAGAGCAAAAAGAGACUGUGAACCACUGAAAGAGUCUUUGUUGGGGAAUCAAGCAGAGGGUACAGACAAGUUGGAGUGUAACAGCCAUGGCAGCGAGGAGAAUGAGGAGCCAGCAGAGGUCAACUGGGUGGAGGUGACAGUGGGUGAGGAUGACGCUGCCUCGGACUGUACGGACAGCUGGAGCCACACAGCACCUGAAGGCCAGGCAGAGCUGGCAGACUUUGACUCUGAAAGUAUAUCUGGAGAAAAUUCCCAUGUAUAGACAGGUAAUGCUGGUGGGGCCCUGUUUCUCUGAGCCUGCAUUUGUCUGGGUGUGCUUCCAGCAUCCCGUUGCCCCUCUUCAGUAUAAAGUCCUGGAGCCUAUCCCUGCUGGAUCCUUGUGCCUGCUGGAUGCCUGAACACAGGGGAGACCCAUCCUGGUUGUAAAUUAAAGCAGCUGCGUGUUAGGGAGGGGUUAGUGCUGUUUGACUUGUUUCUUGUCUCCUUGUGGAUCAAGUCCUGGGGGUACUCCUGAGCUGCACUGCCCUGACAUUGAAGGGGAAAUGCUGUCUGAAAAUAGAAGAAAGCUCUAUUUUCCUGCCUGGGGUGAGAAAGUGAGUUGUGACUCCAAGUCUCGGCCUGCGCUUGCAGAGGCACAGCAAGAAAUACCCUCGUGGAGCAUCAUCAUGGGAUCAUUUAUAGUGCCAAAGUCCUACUACUGCAUUAAAAAGAGAAGAAAGAAAGAGGAAAGGGCCCUUGUACAUAGGUUUCUCCUUAGCUUCUCUCCCACUGACUUUCCUGCCCAGCCUCUGCCUCUACUGGAACAGAUUUGUACAAUGUGGAAAUUUUGUUAACUUUUUAAUAGGUGCAAGUUAUUCUUGCAUAUAAUGUCAUUGCAAAAUCUGGGGGUUGGCUUGGGGAAGGGAAGUGUUUUUUGUGGGGAAGGGAGAGAAGAUUUUUUUCCUGAAGUGUUUUAGGACAGAUUUGCAAUCUUUUGGAGUCUCAGUGUGGAUCAACAUCUGAGCCUAGAUCUCCACCCCGGUUUACAUUUCAGGCCACUUAAACACUUUACGGGGUUGGGGAGGGUCCUUCUGGAGUGGUUAGAGUUUGGGUUUUUUUCUUGUUGUUUUGACUUUUUUGUUUUGUUUUAUGGCCACCUGCUACUGGUUGAAGUAUUUAAAUCUCUGUUUUUCUGUGCUCCUACAAGGCGAAUCUUCUCCAGCUUCUGUACUUCAUUUUUCACAAGUCAGGCCCAGCUGUGGGUCUCUGAAGAUUUGGCUAGAAUGCCAUUUUUGUUUUGUUUUGUUUUUUAGCACUUUUUGUUUAAACAUGCAGUACAACCCCCGAGGGGUUGGAGUGAGGAAACUGAGAUGCUUCAUAAUCUGAAUUUUUUGUGUUUCUCCAGCUGGUACAACAAUGGACACCAUGACCAAGAGUCUGCCCUCCAGCUUUAGAUGUUGUAGUGCACAACAGAAAUUUCUGAUUAACCUUUGCCACUAAAUUUUUAGUUCAAUCCUAGGUUCCUGAGUGCACUUUUUAUUCAAGUACUGCUAAUUUGGUUUUGUGUGGGAGUGUCUGUCCGUGCACAUGUGAGGAGCAGGAGAAGGGAGAGCAGGAGUGCGGUUGCAAAUGUGAGUGGAUGCAAGAGCCAUUCAGUGUGUUCCUCUGAUGAGUUGGGUUUGGGAAACUUACCACCUUUCAGUACACUGCACAAAUAUGAUGCUAGGGAGUUUGAAUAAAUACAACUUUUCUAACUUGUUGCUCAUUUGUUGUAACCCAAUAAAACAAAGGCUAAACAUUUUUGUAACCUU